rnacentral:lncRNA from 1 species
UUUGUAUUUGAUUUACAUCUCUCUACUUACAAAUUAUUUGAUUUAGCUUCUUCCAUUAGACCGACCGUCCCUAGAGCAAAUGGCAAAGGACUUGAUGGUUGGUAUUCGAGACCCAAGUUCGAAUCCUAGUUGAUUCACAUUUAUUGUUAAUUUUAUUUCUAAAUGAAAUAAACGAAGCGGAUAGCGCGCUACCUAUCUCUCUCUCUCUCUCUCUCAAAUAAAAAAAAAGAAAUAAACGAAACGGGUAGCGUGCUACCUAUCUCUCUCUCAAAAAAAAAAAAAAAAAAAAAA